UACAGAGGUGGCAAGCGUUGUUCGGAAUUACUGGGCGUAAAGGGCGCGUAGGCGGCCUUCUAAGUCAGACGUGAAAUCCCCCGGCUUAACCUGGGAACUGCGUCUGAUACUGGAGGGCUUGAGUGCGGGAGAGGGAUGUGGAAUUCCAGGUGUAGCGGUGAAAUGCGUAGAUAUCUGGAGGAACACCGGUGGCGACGGCGGCAUCCUGGACCGACACUGACGCUGAGGCGCGAAAGCUAGGGUAGCAAACGGG
rnacentral:rRNA from 1 species